rnacentral:lncRNA from 1 species
UCUCCUUGGCUUCUAGAUGGCCACCUUCUCACUGCUUUGCCCUCAAAUGUUGUUCUUCUGUGCCCCUAGUGUCUCUUCUUGUUCUUAUAAAGAUACCAGUCAUAUUGGAUUAAGCCCCCACACUAAUGGCCUCAUUUUAACUCAAUCACCUCUUUAAAGACCCUAUCUCCAAAUACAGUUACAUUCUGAAGGACUGGGGAUUGGAACUUCAACAUAUGAAUUUGGCGGGGGGGACGUAAUUCAGCCCACAGUAUUGUCUGAUAGAAAUAAUUAGAGAAGGGGGCAGUAGGUCUGUGCAAGCUGUGCCCUGUGCAAUUCCAGUUGUGGAAUGUAGCAGCUGUUGCAUACCGUGGGGUUGCCUCCAACUGUGUCCCUGUCAGAUCCCAUCUGUGAAUUGCAAAUCUCCUGCAACAGAUGCUCUCUGUCAAGUGAAACUCCUCCCAAAAUUUUAUGUAAAGGGCACAUUGUGGGACCAAGCUGGCAAGUAGUGACGGUACCAGACGCGGUGUAGGGGCUCAGGGCAAGUAACUGUGAUACCAUCACUCUUCCUUCCCCUUCAUCAAGUUAGCAUGAACCAUGGUUAAAGGAGGGUUGUUUGUGUUUGAGGGAGCAGAGUGAUGUGGCUAGAGAGAAUCUCAGUCUAACAGAGAGACAGAUAGAUCGACACUGUUCCAGAGUUGUUCAGGCUUGCAACGAGUCCUGACUGACAACAUUCUCUAUUUUGUUCACACAGCGAUUUGCUGUGUUGUUUGGAUUCUGCGUCUUCCUUUUCUGGCUCCCUUAUUCCCUGGGCUGCUUUGAGGUAGGUUUUAGAAGGAAAGGGCACAUCAAAGGAAGCAGAGAUCUAAACAAUGGUCCAACCACAAUGUUUCUGGUGAGUCACGGCUGGCAGGUGGAGCUAUGCAGUGCGCCUUUCCCUCACUUUCCCAAUAUCUCUUUUGCAGAUAUUGAGGCUAAAGAACCUCCAGGGAGGAUGAGAAAGGGACUCAUAUAUUGGCUUUAUGAUUGGAAUUUAGAUUUGUAAACAGGUGCAUAGAGCACCAGGCAAGGAUGGGAAGAUGUAUUAAAAGACAAUUUUUGCUGGAGUCUUCUAAGAACCGAGAGACAGCCAUCAUCAAGAGAAAAAUGUGGUACAUUGGGGCACACUCAGUAACCUAGCAGGGGCCUGAGGCCAGUAACUGUUCCAGAUGACUCCCAGGCUUCCCUGCACCGUGAAAAAUAGAGCCCAGUUACUGGAAUAAUCGGCCAGAAUUUGCAUCCAUGGAUGCCACCUGAACCUGGCAGAGACCAGCACAGGGUGGCUGUAACAUAUCUCCAUGCGUCCACAUAGAAGCUUCUGUGGCAAGUCUAGAGCCUGUGCGGGGCCUUAAUUACCC